UUUCAUAGCAAGGGCCGGGCAAGACCGGUGCCAGCCGCCGCGGUAACACCGGCGGCUCGAGUGGUAACCGUUAUUAUUGGGUCUAAAGGGUCUGUAGCCGGCCGGAUAAGUCUCUUGAGAAAUCUGGCAGCUUAACUGUCAGGCUUUCAGGAGAUACUGUCUGGCUCGAGGCCGGGAGAGGUGAGAGGUACUUCAGGGGUAGGGGUGAAAUCUUGUAAUCCUUGAAGGACCACCAGUGGCGAAGGCGUCUCACCAGAACGGACCUGACGGCAAGGGACGAAAGCUGGGGGAGCAAACCGGAUUAGAUACCCGGGUAGUCCUAGCCGUAAACGAUACUCGCUAGGUGUCGGCCACGGUGCGACCGUUGUCGGUGCCGUAGGGAAGCCGUGAAGCGAGCCACCUGGGAAGUACGGCCGCAAGGCUGAAACUUAAAGGAAUUGGCGGGGGAGCACCACAACGGGUGGAGCUUGCGGUUUAAUUGGAUUCAACGCCGGAAAUCUUACCGGGACCGACAGCAUUAUGAAGGCCAGGCUGAAGACUUUGCCGGAUUAGCUGAGAGGUGGUGCAUGGCCGUCGUCAGUUCGUACUGUGAAGCAUCCUGUUAAGUCAGGUAACGAGCGAGACCC
rnacentral:rRNA from 1 species